GCAGCAUGGUUGCCAGAACAGAUAAUGUGACAGAGUCACCAGAUACAGAUAAUCGUGGCAGAGCCACCAGAACAGAUAUAUAUGGGGCAGAGCCACCAGAUCAGAUAUUUAUUGCAUAGCCACUAGAACGCUUCCUCCAUAAUAUAACCCAUGUCCCCAUGCAACAGAUAUAUAAUCAUGGCAUACAUCAUACAGAAUCAGAUCGCUAUGUUUUCAGUCAAAAUUAACCCUACGGGUAUAACGGUAAUUUUGCACCUAGGGGUAUAACAGUAAUUUUCCAUACAUAGAGGUAUUAUAGCAAUUUAGCUAUUUUCAGGGUUUUCAUGCAUAUCCUAACUAUUUACGUACUAUCAGAACACUUACCGCGCAUACUUACCGAAUUGGGCCCGUUGGCCCAUGAACCCGAUCUUUGGCCCAUUAAGCCCAAAUUAUCAAAAUGUACGAAAUCGCGCGUACUGCAGUUUAUUACUUUAAAUUACCAAAUAUACAAACCCAACUAUUUUACGAGCAUUCGCACACUCGCAAAUUCCCAAAAUACCGACUUUUCGGCAUUUCGGCUUUUGCCAAUCUAGUCUAUGAAAGGGUGUCAGUUACACACCUGUUUGCGACGAUAUGCUGACGAGAUCCACACACGAACCGCCUACAAUUGGAUUGCUAACACGUUAAUCUAACUAUUCAAAUACAAACUACGUAUUAACCCCUUACAUUAUUCGGCCAACCACACCUACAGAUCAUAGUAAGCUUAUAAGAAAUCAAUAAGCAACUCAUUAACAAAUUUUUGUCAAUGUUUACCACAUAAUCAUAAUUUCACUGCAAGCUGUCUUCCUGAGCAACAGUCACUAAAUUAUUUAUAACUGGAGCUACGAAACUCCAAAUCGAGUGCCGUCUAUUUUCCCUGAAAAUAGACUGAUAUAUCUUUUAUCCAUAAAAUUUUCAGAAUUUUUGGUACGGCCAAUCAAUACCAUAUUUUUCUUAAAGUUUCCCAUGUUUCACUGUUUGACUAAUCUGACCACUCUUCAUUACGAAUCAAAUUUCUCAUUGUACAGAAUUCAAAAUAUGUUAUUGUUUAUUUCAUUAGAAACUAGACUCAAUAAGCUUUAAUUACAUAAUUUAUUUAGCUUCUAAUUCAUCUCCCACAAUUUAUGGUGAUUUUCCAAAGUCACGUUACUACUGCUGUCCCAAGCAGAUUUAUUACCAAAUCACUCUUUCACACAUAUCUUGCAUGCAUGUUAUUUAAACAUGUAUAUCACCAAUCAAUCAUCACAUAUCUAUGAUUUUACUUAAGUAUAAUCUCCAUUUCAUCAUUUUAAAGCACAACAUGUUAGCUGAUUUUUCCCUUUAACAUCUAAGGCACAUGCAUGCUCAUUUGUUUGGCUCAACUUCACCUAUCUUCCAUUUUUCAUCAAAAGAACAUGAAACAACAACCAUUUCCUUCAUUUUAAUUCAUGACUAAAUGCUCACAACACAACUAAAAAUCAAAAUAUACUUCAAGAGUUAAGGUAGAAUCAAGAAGAACUCAUGAACCUCAAAAUAGAAGCAAGGUACCAAGAACUUACCUUCAAUUUUCCUCCUCCUAAUGACCAAAUACUCAAGAGCUUUCUCCUCUCCUUUCUCUUCUCUAACUUUCAGCUAUGAUGAACAAAGAUGGACAAACUUUGUUCUUUUCACCCAUUUUUCUUUUAAUAAAACUUCAUAUUUCAUCCAUUUAAUUCUUUAAUACAAAAGACAUGAAAUUCUUAUCAUGAAACAUUUACCUAACCCAUUAUCAUGAAACAUUUACCUAACCCAUUAUCAUGGAACAUUUACCUAACCUAUUAUCAUUGAACAUUUACCUAACCUAUUAUCAAUUUGUUCCAUAAAUUAUGGAUAUCAAGUGUACAUUUUGUCUACAACAACAUGAUGGCUGGCCACUUCAUGUAAAAUGGGAGGUUUGUCAUUCAAAUCCUCCUAUUUUGCACUCCUAUUUAUUUGGCCACUUCAAUUUAGCCUAUAGCAUUUUCAAACAUUUUCACAUAUGUCCUAUUUCAUAAUUUCACCCCCUUUUUUCUUAUGGAACAAAAAUUAACUAAAAUUGUCGGGUUCUAUCUUAAGUUUGGGUUUUCUAGAGGCCCACUAACAUAAUUAAACCUAUGCCAACAUUCACAGAAUUCCCGGAAAUUGGGGCAUUACAACUCUACCCUCCUUAAAGAAAUUUCGUCCUCGAAAUUUACCUAAUCCAAACAGAUGAGGGUAUUGCUGUUGCAUCGUCUCUUUUGGCUCCCAAACUCAGAAGUUUCCCCUUCCUUAACUUGUUGAAAACGAGCGACCAAAGACUCAUCGUUCAACUAUUUUUCUUUAAUCUGAUCCACCCAGGUUGGCCUCACUUGCAACUCAGUCAACAGACUUCUAUCAUCAUACAGACUCAGACGAGCAAACAUUGCUCUCAGAUCAGAUACAGCUCUACAACUUAGAGCAUCGGCUACCACAUUAGCCUUGCUUGGGUGAUACUCGAUCGAACAGUCAUAAUCCUUAAGCAACUCAAUCCAUCUCCUUUGCCUAAGGUUCAGCUCCUUCUGAGUCAACCAAUACUUAAGACUCUUAUGGUCAGUGUAUAUAAUACACCUUUCUCCAUACAAGUAAUAUCUCCAAAUCUUAAGUGCAAAUAUCACUGCUGCCAACUCUAAAUCAUGAGUCAAGUAGUUUCUCUCAUGAGGCUUAAGCUAUUGUGAUGCAUAUGCAACCACCUUACCCUCUUGCAUUAACACGCAGCCCAAACCCACGUGUGAUGCGUCACUGUACACAGUAAAAUCAUUCCCAGACUCCGACUGAAUUAACACAAGUGCUUCAGUCAGAACUUUCUUCAACUUCUCAAAAGCUUCCUGUUGUUUCUUAGUCCAUACAAACGGUACUCCUUUCCUUAUGUGUUUUGUCAGAGGUGCUGCCAUCACAAAAAAAAACCUUCCACAAACCUUCUGUAGUAUCCUACCAGUCCUAGAAAACUCCGUAUUUCUGACACUGACCUAGGCGGCUUCCACUCCAAAAUCGCUUCAAUUUUCUGAGGGUCCACCUUAAUCCCCUCAGUAGAGACCACAUGUCCUAAGAAGGUUACCUCCCUCAACCAAAAUUCACACUUGCUGAACUUCGCAAAGAGUUCCUUCUCCCUUAAUACUUACAGCACUAUACGGAAAUGCUCAUCAUGUUUCGUUUCAGUUUUAGAAUAUACUAGGAUAUCGUCAAUAAAGACAACUACGAACUGAUCUAAAAAUGGUUGGAACACACGAUUCAUCAGAUCUAUAAACGCUGCAGGAGCGUUCGUCAGUCCAAAUGGCAUAACCAAAAACUCGUAAUGACCAUACCGAGUCCUGAAUGUCGUCUUUUGGAUAUCUACCUCCUUGACCCUUAACUGAUGAUAUCCAGAUCGAAGGUCGAUCUUGGAAAAUACAGAAGCUCCUCUAAGCUGGUCAAAUAGAUCGUCAAUCCUUGGUAGUGGAUACUUAUUCUUAAUCGUCAGUUUGUUCAACUGGCGAUAAUCAAUGCACAUCCGCAUCGUACCAUCCUUCUUUUUCACGAAUAGCACCGGUGCUCCCCAUGAAGACACGCUUGGCCUAACGAAGUCCCUAUCCAACAACUCUUGAAUUUGAGCCUUUAACUCCACUAACUCCUUCGGUGCCAUCCUAUACGGUGCGAUGGACACGGGCGCCGUUCCAGGCAACAAGUCUAUUCCAAACUCAACUUCUCGAUUCGGAGGCAAUCCUGGAAGCUCCUCCGGAAAAACAUCUUGGAACUCCUUUACGGUCCUAACCUUAUCCACUGUCAGUCCCUCCUCUUCUGACUGACUUACAAAUGCCAAAUAGGCUUCACAACCUUUUCGAAUCCACUUUUCGGCUCUUAAAGCCGACACCACAUUGGACAAAUAAUCCCUUCGCUCACCUAUCACUAUAACCUCCUCAUCCUUUGUGGUCCUUAACACCAUUCGUUUAGUAGCACAAUCCAGGGUCGCCUUAUGCUUAACAAGCCAGUCCAUUCCCAAAAUGAGAUCAAACUCUCCAAACGGUAACUCCAUCAGAUCUCCAGGGAAAAUCUUACCUUAAGUUUCUAAGGGUACAUCCCUAUACAGUUUGUCUACCCUAACCGAGUGACUCAAAUGACUUAGUACAGAUACCCCACUCACAAUCUCCUCAGAGCAGUCCAAGUUGUCCAUAAUCCGUUCUGUGGCCUCCAACCAAUAUUCCGCCACAUUCGGGGCUAUACCAGACGCACCCCUAAAGAUCUUCGCUCUGUUGGCCCAGAGUCGUUCAGAAAUUGAUCCUCGAAUUUCGUUGUCCGAACUUGUUCCGGCAACCCUUUCCAGAACACGAAGCAUUGCCUGUGACAGGGCAUCAUCCUCGGCGGCCCUAUCAUACGGCCCAUUCUCAUCCGUCGGUGGUGGUCGUGCUACUCUAGUGGGUAUGUGUUCAGAAGACGAAGUUCUAGCUUGAGUACUACCUCGGCCUCAACCACGGCCUCUUCCCCGAGUAGCUCUCGUACUCAUAUCGAUUUAUCUUGAUUACCAAUUUUUAUGCAUCAAUUCAAUAUUCCAGUGUUUAUUACAGAUGUUUUAUGAAUCAGACAGUAAUUCAAAGUUUGUUUUCGCAGAAUCGAAGUCUAGCUACAGUUUCAGUUUCUUAUCAGAUUUUCCUAUGGUUUCCGUAUCAUCCUAUCUAGAGUAUCCUAGUAGGAUUUCAGUACAGAUAGAUAAGUCAGAAAAAUAUUCAAAAGAGUUCAGAGUAAUACUUACAGGCUUGAGCCGGAGAUUCGGAAUGCCACCUUCUAAAGAUCUAAAUUUUGAAAAUCGAGUUUUUCGCAUUCUUUAUAAAAUUUUCGUUUUCAAAAAUCUUUGUUUUUGUAAACUCAUUCCACAGCCGAGUUGUUGCAACCUACGCUCUGAUACCACUAAAUGUAGCACCCCAAACCCGGUCCAGAAGUUAUGGCCGGAUCCGGCAUGCCACAUCAAAAACGUUAAAAAAAAUUCCAUUCUAAGUCCAGAAAAUCGUACUUGAUGUUGAAAAGAUUAAUUCAUUAAGGGUUAAAGUGAAUGGAAGCUGUGCACCAGGUAGGAAACCGAAAAAGAGGUGGUGAGUCCAUCGGACUACUUAAGUACCAAGCUCCCUUCGGAUCCAAUCCUAGAUAUGCAUACUGCCAUUGCCACACCUUAACGUUAUGGAUAUUUCUAGGAAGCCGAUUUGAUUAAGUCAUUUUUAGGAAAAGUGAUUAAUUUUGGAAAAUACUUUCAUUGCGGAAGCUUUGCUUGUUGUCGUGUUAUUUUGAAAUCAACUGUUGUUUUUGAAAACGCGCCCUAAAGCUAUCCAAUUUCAACAGUUAAAAUAAGCAUUACCUAUCUUAGUAAUACAUAUUAAAAACCAUCAAAAAUAAAUAAGCGGCCUUAUUACAUUUAAAAGCCCAAAACCUCAAACGUAAUUAAAAGGAUGUCCAGUUCACCAGAAGAAAAUCAAACUUUCAGAACGGGUGGCCACUCCAAAUUCCCUCACAGCUCCAAGCCCACUAUGGUUGGGGAUUACCUGCGUGAUGAAAAUAAAAGGGGUGAGUUUGGGAAACUCAGUGUGUAAAUUAACCCAACCAUAGCCUAUAUCAGCUCAAACCACAGAAAUAGAAUAAGUUGGCCUUAGCCCAGAACAGAAUUCAGAAUAAAGCCCAUAGGCCCAUAACAGAACAGAACAGAUAUUACAUGUUUAUGCAGAAACCCAACCAUAUCCAACCGUAUACACCCCCGUACCAAUCUUACACCGUGUGGGGAGACAACUCGACCCACCCAACCGCUACACACCACAGAAUUUGCAACAUGGUUGCCAGAACAGAUAAUGUGACAGAGUCACCAGAUACAGAUAAUCGUGGCAGAGCCACCAGAACAGAUAUAUAUGUGGCAGAGCCACCAGAUCAGAUAUUUAUGGCAUAGCCACUAGAACGCUUCCUCCAUAAUAUAACCCAUGUCCCCAUGCAACAGAUAUAUAAUCAUGGCAUACAUCAUACAGAAUCAGAUCGCUAUGUUUUCAGUCAAAAUUAACCCUACGGGUAUAACGGUAAUUUUGCACCUAAGGGUAUAAUAGUAAUUUUCCAUACAUAGAGGUAUUAUAGCAAUUUAGCUACUUUCAGGGUUUUCAUGCAUAUCCUAACUAUUUACGUACUAUCAGAACACUUACCGCGCAUACUUACCGAAUUGGGCCCGUUGGCCCAUGAACCCGAUCUUUGGCCCAUUAAGCCCAAAUUAUCAAAAUGUACGAAAUCGCGCGUACUGCAGUUUAUUACUUUAGAUUACCAAAUAUACAAACCCAACUAUUUUACGAGCAUUCGCACACUCACAAAUUCCCAAAAUAUCGACUUUUCGGCAUUUCGGCUUUUCGACUUUUGCCAAUCUAGUCUAUGAAAGGGUGUCAGUUACACACCUGUUUGCGACGACAUGCUGACG
rnacentral:lncRNA from 1 species